GCCAGUGACUGAUGAACUCGGAGUCUGCUCAUCAGAAAAUUACAGAUUGCUAAUGGGCAAAGAACAUGAACCACAGGAAUCUGUCCCAGCUUAUGAAAAUUGAGAAGAAAUUGUAUUUCCUCUCCGAUAGAGACAAGAAUUCAGUAUUCCUGUGACAUCCACAUUACAUGUGGGUGUGAAUUUGACUGCAUGGAAUGUUCCUGUGCUUUUAAGUUUUCCUGUGAUUCUCCCCUUGAACCAGAAAGAAUACAACCCUCCAGAUCCACUUUGCACUUCUGUCUACCAAAAC